GCAUCGGAGAACAGGGACGACUGAAGGAAAUGGGACGCGAGUCCCGAUUGUCCUUUCGUAACUUCGCCGAGCACCAGCUGCGUCGGGAAUGCAAGGAAGCGGCUAUGGAAA
rnacentral:ribozyme from 1 species